GGCGUUAUUUAGCUCUAUGAAUGAGGUACCGGUAUGAAGGAGAUGGGUGUGGGGAGUGCGGCUGAGAAGAAUUAACUUGCCUAACACCACCUAUUGAAUUCAUGACAAAGGUGAUAAGGGAAUAGAGAGCAUUGGCGAUAUUCUGUAUUGGUUUUGAGUAUAACUCCGGAAUAACAAAUGAGGAGAGUUCCUGCCACCUGAUGAACAGUAGCAAGAUUAUAAUCUGUUUGAAUGAAUCAGUUUCUUGGUGCUACCUACUAAUAAGGAGGAGAAGUUUGUAAGGAUGACCAUGAAUACCAUUUGCAGAUUGGACUCUGGUCCAUCCUGGCUGGUGAAAUCCAGCCAGGAACAGCUGCAAUCAAUACUGGCUGGGGUUAUCAAUGCCUCCCUAUAGUGCUUGUUGGCCUUAAAUAUGAAAUAGUUUGGCCUAU